AUUGAACGCUGGCGGCAGGCUUAACACAUGCAAGUCGAGCGGGGUGAUGGUGCUUGCACUAUCACUUAGCGGCGGACGGGUGAGUAAUGCUUAGGAAUCUGCCUAUUAGUGGGGGACAACAUCUCGAAAGGGAUGCUAAUACCGCAUACGUCCUACGGGAGAAAGCAGGGGAUCACUUGUGACCUUGCGCUAAUAGAUGAGCCUAAGUCGGAUUAGCUAGUUGGUGGGGUAAAGGCCUACCAAGGCGACGAUCUGUAGCGGGUCUGAGAGGAUGAUCCGCCACACUGGGACUGAGACACGGCCCAGACUCCUACGGGAGGCAGCAGUGGGGAAUAUUGGACAAUGGGGGGGAACCCUGAUCCAGCCAUGCCGCGUGUGUGAAGAAGGCCUUAUGGUUGUAAAGUACUUUAAGCGAGGAGGAGGCUCUUUUGGUUAAUACCCAAGAUGAGUGGACGUUACUCGCAGAAUAAGCACCGGCUAACUCUGUGCCAGCAGCCGCGGUAA
rnacentral:rRNA from 1 species